AAAGGUCAACCGCCCGGUAAACCCUGAGCACGACUCCGUUCCAAGUUCCGAAAGAGUUAACUAUCUAAAAAUAAAUUAAGAUUGAAAUCGAUCGAUGAAAGAGCAAAUGGUGUAAAGAUUCUAGUGGCCCAAGAAUUGGAUUUAAAUUAUUUCGACGAUUCGUUGGGCACGACGAGUUACGUUCACAUGGAAAGGCUGAUUACCAUCAUAUAAAUGAAGAUGAAAUGAGCCACGACAAAACUUGACGACGUCGGCAAAUAUUUUCUCUGAGGCUAUGAAAUAUGAAUAAAAAUCCAAGAAAUCCGAAAAAAGUACAAAAAAAAAAAUCACAAUAGAGAAGAAAACAUCAUUACCAAGAAACCGUAUUCAAAAGUUCCACCAAAAAGACUGAGGACUGGAAUGUAUCCGUUGGAGUUCCACAUAUCUAUCUCUGUAUAU